rnacentral:rRNA from 1 species
AUUGAACGCUGGCGGCAUGCCUUACACAUGCAAGUCGAACGGUAACAGGUCUUCGGAUGCUGACGAGUGGCGAACGGGUGAGUAAUACAUCGGAACGUGCCCAGACGUGGGGGAUAACGAGGCGAAAGCUUUGCUAAUACCGCAUACGAUCUAAGGAUGAAAGCAGGGGACCGCAAGGCCUUGUGCGUUUGGAGCGGCCGAUGGCAGAUUAGGUAGUUGGUGGGAUAAAAGCUUACCAAGCCGACGAUCUGUAGCUGGUCUGAGAGGACGACCAGCCACACUGGAACUGAGACACGGCCCAGACUCCUACGGGAGGCAGCAGUGGGGAAUUUUGGACAAUGGGCGAAAGCCUGAUCCAGCAAUGCCGCGUGCAGGAUGAAGGCCUUCGGGUUGUAAACUGCUUUUGUACGGAACGAAAAGGCUCUGGCUAAUACCUGGGGCACAUGACGGUACCGUAAGAAUAAGCACCGGCUAACUACGUG